rnacentral:rRNA from 1 species
GACGAACGCUGGCGGCGUGCCUAAUACAUGCAAGUCGAGCGAAUUUUUGGGAGCUUGCUCCCAAAGGUUAGCGGCGGACGGGUGAGUAACACGUGGGCAACCUGCCUAUAAGACUGGGAUAACUUCGGGAAACCGGAGCUAAUACCGGAUAAUUCAUAUCUACUCAUGUAGGUAUGCUGAAAGUCGGUUUACGCUGUCCCUUAUAGAUGGGCCCGCGGCGCAUUAGCUAGUUGGUGAGGUAACGGCUCACCAAGGCAACGAUGCGUAGCCGACCUGAGAGGGUGAUCGGCCACACUGGGACUGAGACACGGCCCAGACUCCUACGGGAGGCAGCAGUAGGGAAUCUUCCGCAAUGGACGAAAGUCUGACGGAGCAACGCCGCGUGAGUGAUGAAGGUUUUCGGAUCGUAAAACUCUGUUGUUAGGGAAGAACAAGUACUAGAGUAACUGCUAGUACCUUGACGGUACCUAACCAGAAAGCCACGGCUAACUACGUGCCAGCCGCCGCCGUAA